rnacentral:rRNA from 1 species
UACGUAGGGUCCGAGCGUUGUCCGGAAUUACUGGGCGUAAAGCGUGCGCAGGCGGUUCUAUAAGACAGAUGUGAAAUCCCCGGGCUCAACCUGGGAACUGCAUUUGUGACUGUAGAGCUGGAGUGCGGCAGAGGGGGAUGGAAUUCCGCGUGUAGCAGUGAAAUGCGUAGAUAUGCGGAGGAACACCGAUGGCGAAGGCAAUCCCCUGGGCCUGCACUGACGCUCAUGCACGAAAGCGUGGGGAGCAAACAGG